rnacentral:tRNA from 1 species
AUGCUCGUGAACAGCAGAGCCCUACAAAGUCCGCCCUUUCACGGCGGUAACAGGGGUUCGAUUCCCCUUGGGCGUACCA